rnacentral:rRNA from 1 species
CAUGCAAGUCGAGGGGCAGCAUGGUCUUAGCUUGCUAAGGCUGAUGGCGACCGGCGCACGGGUGAGUAACACGUAUCCAACCUGCCGUCUACUCUUGGCCAGCCUUCUGAAAGGAAGAUUAAUCCAGGAUGGGAUCAUGAGUUCACAUGUCCGCAUGAUUAAAGGUAUUUUCCGGUAGACGAUGGGGAUGCGUUCCAUUAGGUAGUAGGCGGGGUAACGGCCCACCUAGUCAACGAUGGAUAGGGGUUCUGAGAGGAAGGUCCCCCACAUUGGAACUGAGACACGGUCCAAACUCCUACGGGAGGCAGCAGUGAGGAAUAUUGGUCAAUGGGCGAUGGCCUGAACCAGCCAAGUAGCGUGAAGGAUGACUGCCCUAUGGGUUGUAAACUUCUUUUAUAAAGGAAUAAAGUCGGGUAUGCAUACCCGUUUGCAUGUACUUUAUGAAUAAGGAUCGGCUAACUCCGUGCCAGCAGCCGCGGUAAUACGGAGGAUCCGAGCGUUAUCCGGAUUUAUUGGGUUUAAAGGGAGCGUAGAUGGAUGUUUAAGUCAGUUGUGAAAGUUUGCGGCUCAACCGUAAAAUUGCAGUUGAUACUGGAUGUCUUGAGUGCAGUUGAGGCAGGCGGAAUUCGUGGUGUAGCGGUGAAAUGCUUAGAUAUCACGAAGAACUCCGAUUGCGAAGGCAGCCUGCUAAGCUGCAACUGACAUUGAGGCUCGAA